rnacentral:rRNA from 1 species
UUUUGGACAAUGGGGGAAACCCUGAUCCAGCCAUCCCGCGUGUAUGAUGAAGGCCNUCNNGUUGUNANGUACUUUUGGCAUAGNNNNNAAGGUAUCCCCAAAUACGGGAUACUGCUGACGGUAUCUGCAGAAUAAGCACCAGCUAACUACGUGCCAGCAGCCGCGGUAAUACGUAGGGUGCAAGCGUUAAUCGGAAUUACUGGGCGUAAAGCGUGUGUAGGCGGUUCAGAAAGAAAGAUGUGAAAUCCCAGGGCUCAACCUUGGAACUGCAUUUUUAACUGCCGAGCCAGAGUAUGUCAGAGGGGAGUAGAAUUCCACGUGUAGCAGUGAAGUGCGUAGAUAUGUGGAGGAAUACCGAUGGCGAAGGCAGCCCCCUGGGAUAAUACUGACGCUCAGACACGAAAGCGUGGGGAGCAAACAGG